rnacentral:rRNA from 1 species
AUGGCUGAUGUUCAAGAGGAAAAUCCAGAGCUUGGAGAAUCUUGGUUUGUCAGAUGUUAUGUCAAUGGGUUAAGAGAGGGAAUAAAGUUCCAAAUCAGACCUCUGAGACCCCAAACACUAACAGAUGCCUAUUGGUUAGCUAGGGAUGUGGAACCCUGUCAUCCACCUGUGGCAAUUACUGCAAAAAGGACAAUUGUUCCUUACAACAAUUACUACCAGAAGAGCAAUACAAAUUAUCCCCCCAAGGUGAAUGUUGUUCCUGUUAUACAACAACAACAUCCUGCCAGACACACUGAACCUCCUGUCAGUAAUGUUCAGAAAAUCAGGAAAGUGGGAGAAUGCUGGAGAUGUGGUGACAAAUGGGUACAUGGUCAUAAAUGUAAAUUAGUACCCAAUGUCCAGGCAAUGCAACAGGAACAAGAGGAACAAGUCACUUAUGACAUUGAGGAACAACUGUUGGAGGAGCAAAUAGAACAAGUGACAGAAGCUGAUCAAGCUAUGUUCAUUUCUGCUUUUGCAAUGGGUCAGCAGCUUGCAGUCCCAACACCUAUAGUAAUUAUCCAUAUAAAUGGAAAAAGAGCAGUUGCACUGUUGGCUUCAGGUAGUACCACAUCAUUCAUAAAUCAAGACUUUGCAGUUAAAGCAAACUGCAACUUACUACCUGUCAAACCUAGAAGAAUUGCAGUUGCUGGGGGAGGCAUACUAACAUCUUCUGCAGUUGUCCCUAAUUGCCAGUUUCAGAUAUCUAAAAUGACACUUUCACACAGUUUUAGGACUCUGGCAUUACCUAGUCAUGAUGCAAUUUUGGGAUAUGUUUGGUUUACUGCAGUUAGCCCUGUUUCCUUUGACAUUCCUGCAAAACAGUUCAGUUUUACACAUGAAAGAAAGCAGACUGUAUCCACAGCAGUAUUCACUACUCCUGCUAGUCUGAAAGAGGUACCUGUUAAGAAAGUGAAAAAGCUGAUGGAUAAAGGACCUGAGAUCUUCUUGUGCCAAGUCAAUAACAUACUCAUGGAUGCACCAGAAGAUUUUAAAAUUCCCCCACAAAUAUAG